GGGAGACGGGCCGUGCUCCUUGCAUACCCCUCCAAUGACGCUAACAGAACAAACAGCGAAAAGGUGAAUCAGAGGCCACCGGUCGUGGAUUCAGCCCCCACGGUGUCGUUCUGCUAAGGAAGCCUCUGGCUUGCCUUCCGGGUGGUGUUCAGGAACCAUUUUGAUGAAUUCCAAUUAAGAGUCUUCCUGACACCAGGAGAUGCAGAGGUCAAAGAAUGCCCUGUGCAGCACAGCAACAGACCACAUGGAGCACAGAUAAAGUUGAAGCUGUGGGAAGUCUGUUGCUCCUAAAGAUCCUAACAGAGGUGUUCCAAGAUACAACACCAGUGCCUGAUCUUGGGAGAGAAGCAGGACACCUCAAUAUGUUGCUAGAAAUGGC